GUCUAUGGCCAUAGCACCCUGAACACUCCUGAUCUCAUCUGAUCUUGGAAGCUAAGCAUGGUCAGGCCUGGUUAGUACUUGGAUGGGAGAAAAAAAAAGUUGAUAUAAGUA
rnacentral:rRNA from 1 species